GGCGGCUGCAGGAGGAACGAGAGGCCCAGGAGAGAGCCCGGGCUGAGCGAGAGGAGGUGGAGCGGCUGCAGAGACAGAAGGAAGAGGCCGAGGCGCGGGCACGCGAAGAGGCUGAGCGGCAGCGCCUGGAGAGGGAGAAGCACUUCCAGCGUGAGGAGCAGGAGCGGCUGGAGAGGAAGAAGCGCCUGGAGGAGAUCAUGAAGAGGACGCGCAAGUCGGACACAGCAGACACCAAGAAAAAGGACGACAAGAAGGUGGUGAACGGGAAAGCAGCCCAACAGGAAGAUGUCCCAGGCCGUGAGAAGCACCUGGGGCCAAUCCCCAAGGCAGAGGAGCUCCCAGAGAUGGAGACCCCAAGUGCAGGGACGCCGGGGGGAACGAAGGGCUUGGUGGGCGAGGGGCUGCAGCCAAGCUCCAAGGAGGCAGCAGCCCUGGUGAACGGCGUGCAGCCCGGCAAGCACGAGAACGGCUUCUCGGGCAGUGAGGGCUCCAAGGAGCUGCGGGAUCUCUCCCACCAUGGUGGCAGCCCCGGCAGCAUCAUUCCCUUUGGCGACAAGGAGCCCUUCCUCAAGCAGGCCGUGGUGAAGCCGCCGCAGGUGACAGAGGUGCUGUGAGGGCCUGGCUGAUGUCCCCAGGAGCCAGUGCCUGUGCCCUGACCCCGGUGGCCCACGCAGAUCUGUAGCUGUCGUCACAACACGAGCCUCGCUGCUCCUCCCGGGCGCCCGGGGGCUGCAGGGCCCCAGCGAGGAUGCCUGGCUCCUCUCUUUGUUCUCGUUUUUAUUUCGUUUUGUUGGUUUUUUUUUAUUUUAAAUAUGCACCUUAUCAGACUGACAGCCCACCCUCGCAGCCCGCUGGAGCCGCCCCAGACGUGUGGUGUAAUGAUGUAGUUAUUUAACUCGCUGGGUACAACGUCUGUGAAUACUGUAAAUAGAGCCGGCCGGGCGUGGGGAUGCUCUGGGGGGCUCGGGGCUGGGGGGAAGCCGUGUCACAGCUCCCGGUGCCCACGUUCCCCCGCAUGUCCGUGUGUCCAGUGUCCCCGGGCCCGGCCGGCACCACGCUGCUCUGUGCCCUUGUGACAGUGUUAUGCAUCCAGACAACCUUUGACAACAAUUAAAAGUGGACAAUGCCCUCGGUGUGCCUCUUUGUGUCCGGGGAGGGGACUGGGAUGGGCUGGGUUGGGCAGGGCAGGGCAGGG
rnacentral:lncRNA from 1 species